AUAGUGAAGAUGAGCGUCUGUGUUCCUAAGCAUGAAGGAGGACCACAUGAGUAUCCUGGACACCUACUGCAUGAAUGUAUUCGCCCUUUCAGAUCUAGGGACCUGGGUACCUUGGGACAGAGGGAGUGCAGAGCAGAGAAAACCUACCUGUGCAACUGAGAAGGCCGCUCAGGCCACAGGGACAGGGCAGGAAUGCUCUCAGGAGUGUCCCCUGAACCUGAACUUGAUUUCACGCCAUCACCUUCCACCUCUUAACCAGCAUCUCCUGGACAGUCAGCCGAGUGUUUCCAUGAUACCAGCCAUACCUGAUGCCAGGAGACUCGCUACACUUGGAAGCUCUUCAAGGCAUGCUUAUCUUUGUGAACUGAAUCUUGGAGAAGCAGGAUUGAAAAUAAGAGCUAUCUUUGAGGCUCUAGCACCUACAAGAGACACCCUCCCUCUCCACCAUGGAUCACCUGUCUCACCCGUGUGAGUCUCCACACAGAAACCAGUCAUGGCCCUGCCUUUGCCCCCCUUGAAAUCACCCAAGAGGAUGCUUCAAACUCAGGCAAGCACAACUGAUACUCACUCUGCAUGCAACAGCAGGGGAGUGACCUUACAAGAAACUAAUGGGCCUCACUUCCUGAGAAUCACUGUCAGAGCCCAUAACAUAAGAUAAAUCACAGCCAAGGAUUUUUGAAAAGUUUCCUGAUGAGAGAACCAUGACCUUUUCAAGGGUAGUGAUGGAUUGAUCAGGGCAAGCAAUAGGUAGAUUUUUUAAAACAAGCCUGGCACAAAAACAAUGAUAUAUAUCUACCAAAGUUGGCUAGAAUACCUGGCUGAUGUCCCAGUCAGGAAACACAGGAAAAGGUUACAUCUGUAGAAAAAAAACAGCUUGUUAAGCAAAACAAUGCAGUCAAAAACCAAGCUCACUGUAAGAAAUGCCAUGUGGGCCAGUGGGGACGGCCAUGCCGAAAGCGCUCAGUGCUCCUGAAGCUGGGUGGCAGGUGUUUUCACACACAAAGGCCUUCCUUGCUCGGGCCAUGGGAUAAGCCUUUGAGUGGAGACCUAGCAAGGAGCUUUGAAGUCUGCGUUGGGGGUGGAAGGUGGCAAUCCCAUUAGACAGCUCUCCCUGGCGUGAAUUUAUGAAGCCCCAUGCAGACUGUGACUUUUAAAAUAAUCAUUUAGUUGGUUCUAGCACAUAUCGCAGGUUUCAUUACAGGCUGCCCCUUAACGAGCAUUGUAACCUGGAGGAAAGAAUCCAAAUUCUUUAGUCACCACCUAACUCCACAUUCAUUACCUUGUUGCCCAGGGUGGAGUCCAAAAGCAGCAACUAUGUUUAUUUCUCCAUAGAAAAUAAAUGUUCACCAAGGCACGUCUGUUCUAUUACUUUUUUAUUCUUAACUAGACCGUUAAUAUAAUUGUUGGUUGCAUUGAUUUCAACUUCCCCACACGAUGCAAUCGGCUUUCUGCCGUAUUUCAAUCACACUAACCAAGAGAGACAUCAGACAUUCAGAAUAGACUCUGGACCAAAACCGAGGGUAGGGGAGAGGUGGGCGGGCCAGGCACAGCUCUGCUGAAGCACUGGUUUGACAUGUCGAGUUGAAGUGUUUCUACUCAAAACACCUGUCUCCCUGCCAAGGUGAAGGCUAGAUGGUAAAAAAGAAAGUUCCCUUUUUUCUGAUAAACUAGGCUGUCUCCAUAGGAAGUACCCUGAAGGCCCCCAGCUCCGACUCCGAGAGCAGAGCCCAGACUCUCCUACUUUGGACGGACAUGAGCUCUAUGCCUCUUGGGGUUUCUCUGCCUGCCCAGUCACCCUGGAUAACGUGCUUGCCCUAGAUUGUCUCCUAGGCCAAGUCCUCUCCAAGUUCUUGGCCCUUUGUCCUAAGGUUGGAUCUCUUCCUCUCGCUUCCCUUGCUCCGAGCUGUGUCUCUGGAUACACCCCCUGCAAACUACGCUUCCUGAGCUCGGCUGGCAUCUGGCUGUGUUCAGCAAAUGGGAAGCCCAGACAGGGGACUGGAGAGCAGGAAGACGGGAGAACAAGGAGAUUUCUCCUCCUUCAGCAGCCACAGCAGCAACGGCGUGUCCUCCACAGUUAACUGGAAGAAAAAGCCUGAGUCCUUGUCUCCUCCUGGAUUGCCAAAGGGUCUUCUCCUUAGACAUGUAAAUACACAAAUAUUCGCAUUUUUUAGUAACCCUUGAAAGAUUUAACUGCCGGAAUUUAACACCAGUAAAAACAAAUGUAGCAAUAUGAAAUUGCAACUCACUGAGGGCAUUACGAUUCAGAAAGUGAAGAAAUGCGGGGCCAGCUCCAGCCGCAGCGCAACUGUCCACGAGUCCGGCCGCAGCGCACCUGUCCCCAAGUGUCCACCUCUAAGGCAGUGUUCUUCAACACGCACCACGCGCAUCCUCAGCUGGGCAUUUCCAGAGGGAGCAAGUCUCUGAGAGGCAGGUCUAGCGCUAAGCUUUCAACAAGUCGCAGGCUAUACUUCCGAACACAAUGAAAUGAGAAUGACUUCACAUCUCAGCAGAGCCAAAAGCAGUAGACAAAUAAACAAUGAUGAGA